GUGUACACCCGUACACUGCGGUUCUGAGCGCGCCGUCCACGCCCACCUGACGACUGCUCGCUACGUUUUCUAAGAA
rfam:Xanthomonas oryzae pv. oryzae KACC10331, complete genome.